rnacentral:misc_RNA from 1 species
AAGUCGUAACAAGGUUUCCGUAGGUGAACCUGCGGAAGGAUCAUUAACACUAAUGAAAUCCAAAACCUUUUGGAUCAACCCAACCUUAGCGAACCGUUCGUAUUUUCCCUUGCCCAAUUUUACCAAACGCAAAAAACUCUGAUGUAAAGUGUCUGAUUCUUAUUCUCGUUUCGGUUGUAACGACCAGCGGGAAUCAAAAUCUAACGCAAUACAACUCUUAACAACGGAUAUCUUGGCUCUC